CUGGGGAUGGUGUGGCUGAUUCAGCUGUGGAGUGAUGCUGAAAUCAGGCUGCUGUGAUCAUUGGUCCUUGGCAGGUGCUGUAUCCCGGCUUCUGGCCUUUGUCCCUUGGACCAUGUAGUUGUUUUCUGCUGUGGCAGAAAUGUGUCACAGCUGUUGCUCAUGCUGGUGCUGCUUAUUGCAGAGGAUGUGUGGAACCCUUCAAAUCUCAAGCUCAUUAUAUCUGUCUGCAGCUGAAGACUCAGGAAGCCUUGGGAAAGAGCGUGCCUCUUGCUUGCUUUCCUGUCUGAUUUGAUCUUACCAAGGGGCCAUGGUGGAUCAUGAAAAUCUCCCUGCUCCCAACUGAGCAGUCACAGAGAAGCACUGGAUGUCCAUCUUCCUCCUUUGGCCUUGUCCUCAUUUGGAUACUGACCCUCUCCCCAGCACAGAUCGUCUCUCCUCUGCUAGACAUCCUUGUGUUCCCAUGCCCCAGUUUCCCAGGAAUGGAUGUGAAUGCAGCUGUUGGGAGAGUCGGUGCCCAUCUGCCUGGGUCGAAUGCUGCACUGGGAGCAACACUGCUGUUGCCUGUGGGGCAGAGCCAGGAUGUGAGUGAACACUUCAGAAUCAGGCUGGGGUGUGCAAGUUCAAGCACAGGCAGCCUGCAGUGAGGACCAGGUCUUGUCUUCUGCUGCAAUAUCUCAGUCUUGAAUGAAUGCUGUCCUACCAGCCUCUGUUUGGGCAAUAUGGAAAACAGCGGCCCUGCAGAUUCUUUUAGGGGUACGGAGUGAGUGGAGUGGUGAGGUGAACCAUAGCGUCCCUAUUUUAAAUAUGUUCUUAGAGAAAACAGAGAUUAUUCCCUGUGUGGAGGGAUAACCAGCAAAUUGAUACCUGCACGUCCUGAUGCAGGGAGCCAGAAACCCCUUGUGCUCUGGGCUGUGGCAGAGAAAAUGUAAACAAACUCCAGUUUUAUGUCUGACCAAGGAGAUAUAAACCAAGCAUAUAUUGUAGCCUUUUAAAUAUGUUGACAUUUUACAAUCCAUCAAAGCCUUUAAUUGUAUUUUGAGUGAGUUGUUCUGUAUGUAAAUACUAGUUAAUGUUGAAAUUGUUUAUAGCCAAAUUGUCUGUUUAUGCAAAUUGUGUUCCAAGAUCACAGAGCUUCUAUUGUACCAUAAAUAUGUCUGUUUUAUUUAAUGUUGGAAAUGUUUCCUUUGGCUGCUGUAGCUCUUCAGCGCUGCUAGUGUGGGGGCGAGUGCCAGCCUCCCCAUGGGGCAGAGAGAUGUGAUGGCUGCUCCAAGAGCUCCUGCUGUGCAUCUGACUC
rnacentral:lncRNA from 1 species